CGACAAUCCCACGUGCGAUGUGUUUUUACAAAAACAAACCAAAGGAGGAACGAUACUGCAGCAAAAGCAGAAUGCAGAGGUACAUUCAAGUGGAGCAUUUCGUUAUUCCUACACAAAGCUAGGGAGCAAGGAUUAUAAAGGUUGGUGGAAAAGGAAGUAUAUCGGGAAAUAUCUUCCGCUGAUCAGCAUUCCAGAAAUAAAGGACUACUUACGUUGGAUGGACUGGCCGGUACCAGAGCUAUUUCAAAUAACUUACAGUAACAUUGUAGACUCUAAGUGUCAUAAAUAGAGGCAUCGAUUUUAAUAUGUGUACUACGAAAGUGAUGGAGUGAAAAGCGGCUGGCAAAGGCCACUUUGGCUUGACGCACGAAGUUAAGGACGGGCUACCCGGUCGUUCGUUUUGCAGCAUAGGUCCUCUUUGUACACCAACUCUGUGCGGACAUCCUCCCGAGAACCAGAACUACCUGCAACAUGUCACGUUUCCGUAAAAAUCAUUUAAUUUUCACCACUGUCACUGAAUUAAUUAAUGAACAUUCUGUCACACGUUGGCUCAAUAAUACUUCUUACCCUUAAUCCUCUAAACCAGUGAACCACAGAACCUGAUGACGUAGACUAGACGACUGGAAGACUAGAGAGAUUCCACAUUAACACGUGAACCCUUCAAUCCUCAAUCCAGCAUUUUAUUUUAGACUGAAUAACAACAAAACCAUUUCGUUGCAAGAUUAGAUUUUUAUUUAUUCAUCAAAGAAAUUUAAAUGAUGUUGACUGACAAUAUGAAACCUAGUCGAUAGAAAGAUUGGAACACUCCAGUCCGUCACUCUUACUCCCAUGGCAAUGCAGUGGAGUGGGUUGCCCUCAUGAACGCUCUACUCAAUGUCGAAGUAGCUAUCACUGUCUUCAUCGUGGUCUUCUGGUAUCUCUACUGGUGCGGCAUACAACUUCUCAAAGUUAAGUUGGAUCUUCCGAUUCCUUAUCCCUGCCCAGAGUUCGCAGGCCUCAUGGAAAGGAAAAUCACGAACCUCUGGACCCUCAAUACCGGCCAUCAUCAGGGCAUUGAGAAUUUUAUGAGAGAGGCGGCUCCUCAACUUUGUUUUAAUUCGUUUAAGUUCACUGAAUCCUCGCUCGCAAUCUAGAAGAAUGGAAAUUAUUUAUCCUAUAAAUAUAAUGAUGCUCAGCUGAUAAGAUAUUCUAUGUCUGAUUUACAGUUAUAUACUUCCCGACUUUUAAUUGAACUCAUCAGCAGUGGAGGCAGGAAUGACCAGAGCGGCCAUUGCCAAUUUUGCCAAAAUUGGGGUAUACCUCCGAUUUCGCCACAACUUUUAAAGCUUCUGGCAGCUUCCCAUAUCUUUCCGGGUACUUCACCAUAUUGGUACGGAGGGAGUCCCAUUCCGUGACAGCCUGUUCUCUGGAGAGGUCCAUGCCUUCCUCGUACCUGUUCAGAAGCAUCUGUAAGACAACGCAAUGAUGAUGGCAUAUAAACUUAAGAAGAAUCCGAGACAUUAUGAACCUUUGAUCUGAAGCUUUAUACCAUGAGACAUUAGCAAAAUUAUGGUACUUCUGUUCGCCAUUAAGCCAAAUGGCAUGUGAAAAGAAGUAAUUGAUGCGGCAUGGACGAGACUCUGUUGUACCAUCCUCACAUGAAUAAGAUGCAUAGACCUGUGCGCUUCUCAGGGCCCUGUUCUCCAUCUUUGAAGCAUAUCGCUCACCAGCUAUAUACAAGGAACCGUACUUGUUUAUAAUUUCACUUAAAUUGUCAACAGUGACUGUUUCAUAAGGGUACAUUGACUGAUAAACACUAUACAGCCAUGGUUUGUCAUCUUCAGAGGACAAACAGGCAAUUAUGA